GCCAACUCUGCUCACCACGAGUUCAACCCAAAUAAGUCGAGUUUAAAUGAGCUGGGUCCAAUAUUGACCCACAUAAAAAAAACAUUUUUUUAAACGCAACCCAGCCCGAACACGUGAUGGACUGGGUUGGCUCGCGGGUUGUAACCCAUUUUGACAACUUUAGUUUUCACACCCUUGAAAUGGCCAUUGAUGAUAUUGUAAAGAACAUUGUUGAUGUCUCGUCAAGUUCAACU
rnacentral:lncRNA from 1 species